rnacentral:rRNA from 1 species
AAAUUGAAGAGUUUGAUCAUGGCUCAGAUUGAACGCUGGCGGCAGGCCUAACACAUGCAAGUCGAGCGGUAACACAGGGAGCUUGCUCCCGGGUGACGAGCGGCGGACGGGUGAGUAAUGUCUGGGAAACUGCCUGAUGGAGGGGGAUAACUACUGGAAACGGUAGCUAAUACCGCAUAACGUCGCAAGACCAAAGAGGGGGACCUUCGGGCCUCUUGCCAUCAGAUGUGCCCAGAUGGGAUUAGCUAGUAGGUGGGGUAACGGCUCACCUAGGCGACGAUCCCUAGCUGGUCUGAGAGGAUGACCAGCCACACUGGAACUGAGACACGGUCCAGACUCCUACGGGAGGCAGCAGUGGGGAAUAUUGCACAAUGGGCGCAAGCCUGAUGCAGCCAUGCCGCGUGUAUGAAGAAGGCCUUCGGGUUGUAAAGUACUUUCAGCGGGGAGGAAGGUGUUGAGGUUAAUAACCUCAGCAAUUGACGUUACCCGCAGAAGAAGCACCGGCUAACUCCGUGCCAGCAGCCGCGGUAAUACGGAGGGUGCAAGCGUUAAUCGGAAUUACUGGGCGUAAAGCGCACGCAGGCGGUCUGUCAAGUCGGAUGUGAAAUCCCCGGGCUCAACCUGGGAACUGCAUUCGAAACUGGCAGGCUAGAGUCUUGUAGAGGGGGGUAGAAUUCCAGGUGUAGCGGUGAAAUGCGUAGAGAUCUGGAGGAAUACCGGUGGCGAAGGCGGCCCCCUGGACAAAGACUGACGCUCAGGUGCGAAAGCGUGGGGAGCAAACAGGAUUAGAUACCCUGGUAGUCCACGCCGUAAACGAUGUCGACUUGGAGGUUGUGCCCUUGAGGCGUGGCUUCCGGAGCUAACGCGUUAAGUCGACCGCCUGGGGAGUACGGCCGCAAGGUUAAAACUCAAAUGAAUUGACGGGGGCCCGCACAAGCGGUGGAGCAUGUGGUUUAAUUCGAUGCAACGCGAAGAACCUUACCUACUCUUGACAUCCAGAGAACUUUCCAGAGAUGGAUUGGUGCCUUCGGGAACUCUGAGACAGGUGCUGCAUGGCUGUCGUCAGCUCGUGUUGUGAAAUGUUGGGUUAAGUCCCGCAACGAGCGCAACCCUUAUCCUUUGUUGCCAGCGGUUAGGCCGGGAACUCAAAGGAGACUGCCAGUGAUAAACUGGAGGAAGGUGGGGAUGACGUCAAGUCAUCAUGGCCCUUACGAGUAGGGCUACACACGUGCUACAAUGGCGCAUACAAAGAGAAGCGACCUCGCGAGAGCAAGCGGACCUCAUAAAGUGCGUCGUAGUCCGGAUUGGAGUCUGCAACUCGACUCCAUGAAGUCGGAAUCGCUAGUAAUCGUAGAUCAGAAUGCUACGGUGAAUACGUUCCCGGGCCUUGUACACACCGCCCGUCACACCAUGGGAGUGGGUUGCAAAAGAAGUAGGUAGCUUAACCUUCGGGAGGGCGCUUACCACUUUGUGAUUCAUGACUGGGGUGAAGUCGUAACAAGGUAACCGUAGGGGAACCUGCGGUUGGAUCACCUCCUUACCUUAAAGAA